GUUGUUUUCAGUCAUUUUGCAAAUUUCAAUCUGAGUAGAAGGUUUAAGUCAUUAUGAAUUUCCGGUUUGUGUUAGGAUUUGUUCUGAUUUUCAUAUUGCAGAUUCUAGCUGACGGUAGCAUUCUCAAAGACAAAGGAGGUGUAGAUCAAAAUCAAAAUCAAGAACAAAGUGUUGUGGUUCGACCAGGUCCUACAAUCUCGAAGAACACAACUAUUAUACUUCAAGAUGAAUAUGAUGAUGAGGAUGAUGACGAUGACGAGUGAAAAAAGGAACAUAAGAAGAUUAAAGAAGUAAAAUUAUAAAAGAAAUGUAAAAUAAAAAUCGUUUCAGAUCGGUAAGA